rnacentral:rRNA from 1 species
CGCGUAGGUGGUAGUGCAAGUCUGGGGUGGAAUCCUAUGGCUUAACCAUAGAAUUGCCUUGGAAACUGUAUUACUUGAGUCAGUGAGGGGAGGGUAGAAUUCCUGGUGUAGCGGUGAAAUGCGUAGAUAUCAGGAGGAAGGCCUGUGGCGAGGGCGGCCCUCUGGCGCUGAACUGACACUGAGGCGCGAAAGCGUGGGGAGCAAACAGGAUUAGGUACCCUGGUAGUCCACGCCCUAAACGGUGGGUACUAGGUGUAGGGCUCGUAAGGGUUCUGUGCCGAAGCGAAAGCAUUAAGUACCCCGCCUGGGGAGUACGGCCGCAAGGUUGAA